rnacentral:rRNA from 1 species
UACGUAGGGUGCAAGCGUUAAUCGGAAUUACUGGGCGUAAAGCGUGCGCAGGCGGUUGUGUAAGACCGAUGUGAAAUCCCCCGGCUUAACCUGGGAACUGCGUCUGAUACUGGGAGGCUUGAGUAUGGGAGAGGGAUGUAGAAUUCCAGGUGUAGCGGUGAAAUGCGUAGAUAUCUGGAGGAAUACCGGUGGCGAAGGCGGCAUCCUGGACCAUUACUGACGCUGAGGCGCGAAAGCUAGGGGAGCAAACGGG